AGCUUUUUUAACUAGGGCUUUGGAAUGAUUUCUCCAGAGUAACGGCGCAGAAAUUCGGAUCCCUACUUCAUCCCUGGAGGUCCUUAUUUAUAGCAUUUUUGAUGUACGAGGUUUUGAAUUCCUCUCUCAUGAGCUUGGCAAGUUAGUGGGAGAAUCAUUCCGUUAGGUAGCAGAAUUUCUCAGAGUUAGUGGUGCUUCAAAUCGGUGUGGUCCCUCAAAUGGCAGGAUGGGGUUUUGUCUGUAGUGAAUCCGUGGUUUAUGUUGUGAUAGAUGCAUGUUUACAAGGUUUGGAAGAUUGACGAGUAUGUUUCAUCGUGACAGGUUUUGUCAUGCUAUCAUGCUAUCUUGAAUGCUGACUGCUGGAUUGGUUUCUCUCACAUAUCUUAGGACAUGUUUGGUUUUGGUUGAAGGAUGGGUAGGUAGAUGGCAUAGUUAUGUGAUGGAUAGACUUGCAUCAUGAGUUUGGCAUGUGGUUGUGCAUUAUUGGCUGUUGUAAAGAUUGAAGUCAUGGUGAUGGUGAAUUCAUGAUGCUUGGUAUCACUUUGUUGUUGUAGUGAUUCCGGG